rnacentral:rRNA from 1 species
GGACGAACGCUGGCGGCGUGCCUAACACAUGCAAGUCGAGCGAGGAGAUUCCUUCGGGAUGAUCCUAGCGGCGGACGGGUGAGUAACACGUGGGCAACCUGCCUCAUAGAGAGGAAUAGCCUUCCGAAAGGGAGAUUAAUACCUCAUAACAUUGCAGUUUCGCAUGGAACAGCAAUUAAAGGAGUAAUCCGCUAUGAGAUGGGCCCGCGGCGCAUUAGCUAGUUGGUGAGGUAACGGCUCACCAAGGCGACGAUGCGUAGCCGACCUGAGAGGGUGAUCGGCCACAUUGGGACUGAGACACGGCCCAGACUCCUACGGGAGGCAGCAGUGGGGAAUAUUGCACAAUGGGGGAAACCCUGAUGCAGCCAACGCCGCGUGAGUGAUGACGGCCUUCGGGUUGUAAAGCUCUGUCUUCAGGGACGAUAAUGACGGUACCUGAGGAGGAAGCCACGGCUAACUACGUGCCAGCAGCUGC